UACGAAGGGGGCUAGCGUUGUCCGGAAUCACUGGGCGUAGAGGGCGCGUAGGCGGCUAUUCAAGUCGGGGGGUGAAAGCCUGUGGCUCAACCACAGAAUUGCCUUCGAUACUGUUUGGCUUGAGACCGGAAGAGGACAGCGGAACUGCGAGUGUAGAGGUGAAAUUCGUAGAUAUUCGCAAGAACACCAGUGGCGAAGGCGGCUGUCUGGUCCGGUUCUGACGCUGAGGCGCGAAAGCGUGGGGAGCAAACAGG
rnacentral:rRNA from 1 species